rnacentral:rRNA from 1 species
AGAGUUUGAUCCUGGCUCAGGACGAACGCUGGCGGCGUGCCUAACACAUGCAAGUCGAACGGAGUCGGCCCCGCAAGGGACUGACUUAGUGGCGAACGGGUGAGUAACGCGUGAGCAACCUGCCUUUCAGUGGGGGACAACAGUUGGAAACGACUGCUAAUACCGCAUAAUGCAUUUUGACCGCAUGAUCGAGAUGCCAAAGAUUUAUUGCUGAAAGAUGGGCUCGCGUCUGAUUAGAUAGUUGGUGAGGUAACGGCCCACCAAGUCGACGAUCAGUAGCCGGACUGAGAGGUUGAACGGCCACAUUGGGACUGAGAUACGGCCCAGACUCCUACGGGAGGCAGCAGUGGGGAAUAUUGGGCAAUGGGGGAAACCCUGACCCAGCAACGCCGCGUGAAGGAAGAAGGCUUUCGGGUUGUAAACUUCUUUUACCAGGGACGAAGAAAGUGACGGUACCUGGAGAAAAAGCCACGGCUAACUACGUGCCAGCAGCCGCGGU